rnacentral:rRNA from 1 species
GACGAACGCUGGCGGCGUGCCUAAUACAUGCAAGUCGAACGAAGCUUUUUUAACUGGUGCUUGCACCGACUUAAACAACUGAGUGGCGAACGGGUGAGUAACACGUGGGUAACCUGCCCCAAAGCGGGGGAUAACAUUUGGAAACAGAUGCUAAUACCGCAUAACCACAGAAACCACAUGGUUUCUGUGUCAAAGAUGGUUUCGGCUAUCACUUUGGGAUGGACCCGCGGCGUAUUAGCUAGUUGGUAAGGUAAUGGCUUACCAAGGCAAUGAUACGUAGCCGAACUGAGAGGUUGAUCGGCCACAAUGGGACUGAGACACAGCCCAUACUCCUACGGGAGGCAGCAGUAGGGAAUCUUCCACAAUGGCGCAAGCCUGAUGGAGCAACACCGCGUGAGUGAAGAAGGGUUUCGGCUCGUAAAACUCUGUUGUUAAAGAAGAACGUAUCUAAGAGUAACUGCUUAGGUAGUGACGGUAUUUAACCAGAAAGCCACGGCUAACUACGUGCCAGCAGCCGCGGUAA